rnacentral:misc_RNA from 1 species
ACUCCCAGAGCUGUUCUCUGCUGAGAGCUGAGCUGGUUUCCUGCACCACAAGCUUACACUGACAUACAAGGUCUUGCCGCAGGUCCAAAGCUCUGUGGCCAGCUGACCACGUACUGAUACCUCAAAGCGAGCCAACAUGGCGCCUCUCACUGCAAGUUGACUCAUCUCAGGUUGUUGGUAUGGCCGCACUUCUUCUUGCGGCAGUUGACUGCACGAGGGUGCAGGCGUGCGUAGCACUUGCGGCAGAUCAUCUUGUCACAGUUGUACUUCUGGGCAAGCUGACGAAGGGAUGGCUCAAUGAUGCCACCGCGCAGACGCAGCACCAGGUGCAAGGUGGACUCUUUCUGGAUGUUGUAGUCGGACAGGGUGCGGCCAUCCUCCAGCUGUUUGCCCGCGAAUAUCAGCCUCUGCUGGUCAGGUGGGAUGCCUUCCUUGUCUUGGAUCUUGGCCUUGACAUUCUCGAUGGUGUCACUGGGCUCGACCUCAAGAGUGAUGGUCUUGCCCGUCAGGGUCUUCACGAAGAUCUGCAUGUUGGCGUCUGCCGCUCGGCCGCCUCGUUGAAGAGUGGAUAAAGCAAUUUAAAGAGAAAAAAAAAAAAAAAAAAAAA